rnacentral:rRNA from 1 species
AACGUGCCCUGUAGUGGGGGAUAACUAGUCGAAAGACUAGCUAAUACCGCAUACGACCUGAGGGUGAAAGUGGGGGACCGCAAGGCCUCAUGCUAUAGGAGCGGCCGAUGUCUGAUUAGCUAGUUGGUGGGGUAAAGGCCCACCAAGGCGACGAUCAGUAGCUGGUCUGAGAGGACGAUCAGCCACACUGGGACUGAGACACGGCCCAGACUCCUACGGGAGGCAGCAGUGGGA